GACGAACGCUGGCGGCGUGCUUAACACAUGCAAGUCGUACGGUAAGGCCCUUUCGGGGGUACACGAGUGGCGAACGGGUGAGUAACACGUGAGUAACCUGCCCACAACUUUGGGAUAACGCUAGGAAACUGGUGCUAAUACUGGAUAUGUGCUCCUGCUGCAUGGUGGGGGUUGGAAAGCUCCGGCGGUUGUGGAUGGACUCGCGGCCGAUCAGCUUGUUGGUGGGGUAGUGGCCUACCAAGGCGGCGACGGGUAGCCGGCCUGAGAGGGUGACCGGCCACAUUGGGACUGAGAUACGGCCCAGACUCCUACGGGAGGCAGCAGUGGGGAAUAUUGCACAAUGGGCGCAAGCCGGAUGCAGCAACGCCGCGGGCGGGAUGACGGCCUUCGGGUUGUAAACCGCUUUCAGCAGGGACGAAGCUUUUUGUGACGGUACCUGCAGAAGAAGCACCGGCUAACUACGUG
rnacentral:rRNA from 1 species